rfam:Loxodonta africana unplaced genomic scaffold scaffold_3, whole genome shotgun sequence.
GCAGUGGUGGGUCAGUGGUAUAAUUCUUGCCUUCCAUGCAGGAGACCCAAGUUCAAUUCCAGGCCAAUGCA